UGGUCACACUGAGUGCAGGAGUCAGUCCCAGCCAGGACACAGCAUGAACAUGAGGGCCCCCGCUCAGCUCCUGGGACUCCUGCUGCUCUGGCUCCGAGGUGCCAGUUGUGACAUCCAGAUGACCCAGUCCCCAUCUUCCCUGUCUGCAUCUCUAGGAGACAGAGUCACCAUUACUUGCCGGGCAAGUCAGAGCAUUAGCAGAUGGUUGGCCUGGUAUCAGAAGAAACUAGGGAAACCUCCUAAACUCUUGAUCUAUGGGGCAUCUAGUUUACAGACUGGGGUCCCAUCAAGGUUCAGUGGCAGUGGGUCUGGGACAGAUUUCAUUCUCACUAUCAGCAGCCUGCAGCCUGAGGAUGUUGCCACUUAUUACUGUCUACAACGUCACAGUAUUCCUUGCACACUGUUACAAGCCAUAACAAAAACCACCCAGGAAAGCAGAUGUGUUAUGCUGGGCUGUCCCAGCUGCUCCUCCAUAU